AUACAUUUCACAUAUAGCCCCUCAACAUUCUCUCUCUCUCUCUCUCUCUCUCUCUCUCUCUCUCUCUCUCUCUCUCUCUCUCUCUCUCUCUCUCUCUCUCUCUCUCUCUCCCCCUCCCUCUUUCUGUCUCUCUCGCUCUCUCUGUCUCUGUCUCUGUCUUUCUCUUCUCUCUUUCUCUCUCCUCCUCUCUCUCUCUGUCUCUCUCUGUCUCUCUGUCUCUCUCUGUCUCUCUCUCUGUGUGUGUCUCUCUCUGUGUGUCUCUCUCUUUCUCUCUCUUUCCCACACACGAAUUGACAAAGAACCCUGAUUUCUAUUGCCUGCAGUGUUGGAGCCCUGGGUGCCACUAGCAGGGAGAACACUGAUAUUCUCUGCUCCAGAGGGUGUGGUGAGCCCAGAUGCCUGCACUGGGACCAGCUGGCUCAGUCCCACCUCCUCCCUCUCAGCGAGCUUUCCCAAAGCAUCCCUUGGAUCAUUUCAAUAACUGGGCUCAGCUGCCACCAGAGGAAGAAGGAGAUGGAAGACCCAUUUGGGGAUAGAGGUGGGGGACAUCCCCCUCCCCAUCAAGAACAUAGAGAGCAGGCUGGGAAGAGGAGAGAUGUCGGAGGGGAAAGAGAGUGCCUUUCUGAGAAGGGAGAAAUGCUGCUGCUUCAUCAUCAACCCUGUCUGGGAUUAUAGAUGGAGAAGGAGUUGAAUGUUGGAAUUAGGGACAUUUCCAAAGCACCUAAAAGAACUUUGAUGUGAAAAGACAGUAGCUAUGAGUACUUCUGGCCCUGAGACUAUGCUGAAGUUUAUUUUCAAGCUUCUACCUGGCCACUGCUAAGUAGUACAGUGGAUAGAGUGCUAGCCCUGAAGUCAUGACAACCUGAAUUCAAAUCCAGACUCAGACACUAUAGCUAUAUAACCCUGGGCAAGUUACUUCACCCUAGUUGUCUCCAUUUCUACAUCUGUAAAAUGAACUGGAGAAGGAAAUAGCAAAUUCCUUCAGUAUCUCUGCCAUGAAAACCUGAGAAGAAGGGCUGCUGAGUGGCUUAGUAAAUAGAGAGCCAGGCUUGGAGAUGGGAGAUCCUAGGUUCCUCAGACACUUCCCAGCUGUGUGACCCUGGGCUAAUCACUUUACCCCAGUUGCCUAGCCCUUAUUAUUCUUCUGCCUUGGAACAGAUGCCUCAUAUCAAUUCUAAGAGAGAAGGUAAGGGCUUAUUUAAAAUUUCUUUAAACCUGAAAAAGAAUCACAAAGAGUCAAACACAAGUGAACAGCAACAACAAAACCCAGACAGGUGAAACAUGAGGUUUUAGAAUAUUGACUCUGUGGGGAUGAGAUAUUAGGAAACUAAUCCUUUGAGGAAGGUUGGAGAGUGGCAGAACUGGGACCUGAGGUAUAGAGGCAAAGAGUGAAGGGCACAGGUUCCUGGUGGCAUGGAGUGAUUGGUUGUUCCUGAGGAGACCUUCAAUACCAAGAACAAAAGAGCGGAGAAAAAGAGCAACAUGGUGCAGACCAAUGACCUUGUAUACACAAGGAUGCCUUGACUCUGUAUAUUGACUUAGAAAACCAUAUAUUAACAUUAUCUGUAGUCUAUUCUAUUUUUAUUUUAUCUACUAUUUCCCAAUUACAGUUUAAUCUGGCUCUAGUUGAACCCUGGAAUAUUGCUGACUGCAUUACAACCUGGUUCAGUGUUUG
rnacentral:lncRNA from 1 species